AGAAGGGUGCUUCCGACGAAAACAAUAAACAACAUAAUCCUAAGGCAUUUGCAUUUAGUUCCACUGUGAAAGCAAAGAAAUUGCAAGCACGAGCAACAGAGAAGGAGCAGAAGAGGCUUCAUGUCCCAACAGUUGAUAGGUCCACUGGUGAACCAGCUCCAUAUGUAAUUGUGGUGCAGGGACCUCCCAAGGUUGGGAAGUCACUGUUAAUUAAGUCUCUCGUGAAGCACUAUACAAAGCAAAAUUUACCUGAAGUUCGAGGUCCUAUCACUAUAGUAUCAGGUAAGCAGAGACG
rnacentral:misc_RNA from 1 species